CAUCCUAGUUCGAACUUCUCGGUUGGCCCGUACCGCCCGCGGUUUGAUCAUCAAGUUGAUGCUCGACCAAUCUUCUGUCUUCUCCGAACCAUGUUAAGUUUUGUGUGAUCAAAACUCAACAUUACUCCAAAUAUGUAAUCUCCCAAAAGCUUGGCUCCAGAUUCUGACUUUCCCUUGCUCGACCAUUUUAUCCCGAAGGGCGGGUUAUCAC
rnacentral:lncRNA from 1 species